rnacentral:rRNA from 1 species
AGACUCCUACGGGAGGCAGCAGUGGGGAAUAUUGCACAAUGGGCGCAAGCCUGAUGCAGCGACGCCGCGUGGGGGAUGACGGCCUUCGGGUUGUAAACCUCUUUCAGUAGGGACGAAGCGCAAGUGACGGUACCUACAGAAGAAGCACCGGCCAACUACGUGCCAGCAGCCGCGGUAAUACGUAGGGUGCGAGCGUUGUCCGGAAUUACUGGGCGUAAAGAGCUUGUAGGUGGUUUGUCGCNUUNUUCGUGAAAUCUCACGGCUUAACUGUGAGCGUGCGGGCGAUACGGGCAGACUA